GGCCUCGUAGCUCUGUUAGCUGGAGCGUUGGCUGUAUUAAAGCCUCCCCUUGCUGGUGUGGGUUCGAAUCCCACCGAGGUCA
rnacentral:tRNA from 1 species